GGUUACACGCUCAUACUGGGACCCACGCGAGGGAGCUGCUUUCCUCGCGCCACGCGCGUCGCACGCUAUAAAAGCCUCUCCAACCUUUUCUUCGCUGUUCCUAUAGCAUUCAUUCCGAAACUGCUCGAACGAAGAGACCGCCCACAGCUUCCUCACCCACCCUCUCUCACCAGACUUCAAUACCGUUUUCUUAAUUCCGAUUUCUCUUCUUCGAUUCUUUGAAUCUCACGUUUCUACCAAUUCUUCGUCUGAAUCUCUUGCAUCACUACCAUUGCCGGAGGCGGCAGAGUCGGAGCGGAAGAUCAUGGUCGUGAGGAGGUUUAGUGCAAGAAGAGGAUGGUAAGGUGUUUCAGCUUGGGUUAUGUUCUGGUUCUAGCGGCUCUGGCUGCGUCCAUGGUGCUUCUGCCGUUGAUGUUGCCGCCACUACCUCCGCCGCCGUUGGUGCUGCUCUUCUUCCCUGUUGGCAUCAUGGCAGCGCUCAUGCUUUUGGCCUUCUCGCCUUCCGAGGCGAAUCGGAACGCCGUCGCUUACUCGGCGUAGGAAGGACGGAGCGGAGGAGCUCGGAGCGCACGUGGUCGCCGCCCGCAUUUUGCUGUUAUUCACGUGAGUGGAAGGUUCGCGAUCGGUUGCUUCUGAUCGGCUUCGUCGUGGCUUUCAUGAGAAAACAGGAACGGUAAAGCCUUUCUUACGGACUCUUUGAACAUCUGAUGAAGGAUUCACUCUCUCUUUCUGAGGCUCUGUACAAAUAAUUACACAUACUUCGUCAAUCAUGUGCUUGCUGUUCUAUAUCAGACUUGAGACUUUAGAGUUUCGUUCUUUCUUUCUUUCAAGUAAAAUAAUGAAAAAGAUUUUCUAGUAGCAGAGCCGCCUGUUGAAAAAUGAACACAAAUUCACCCAAAAGACCAAGCACAGAAGAUCUCUGGAAAACGGAUCCCCCAGCUACAGAGUACUGUCAAACAAGUCGGCCUGUGAUGAACUACUUGACUAAUCAUGCAACUUCAGAUUUGAAUCCGGAUUGUCUGCCAUUAAAGCUUCACUGUAGCAUAUUAAUCAAUAGGGGAAAAAAUAGUAUGCUUACCAUGCAUUCACUGGGAAAAGGAUAAAUAUCAAGAGAAUAAAUCACACACACUACUCCACCUCCCUCCUCACACACACAUCUGGAAUCACAUUACCAUACCCCCCGGGGGGGGGUGUUAGAUUCAAUUGGUUGAGAGAGUUAAAUCAAUUUAUCUUAGAAUCUCAAAUUCAAGUCUCAAGGUAUGCAAUUAUGCUAAAUAAAUACAUUGAAGGCA